rnacentral:rRNA from 1 species
UACGUAGGCAGCAAGCGUUGUUCGGAAUUACUGGGCGUAAAGAGUGUGUAGGCGGUGCUCUAAGUUCGGUGUGAAAUCUCCCGGCUUAACUGGGAGGGUGCGCCGGAAACUGGAGUGCUUGAGCGCGGGAGAGGAAAGCGGAAUUCCUGGUGUAGCGGUGAAAUGCGUAGAUAUCAGGAGGAACACCUGUGGUGUAGACGGCUUUCUGGACCGUAGCUGACGCUGAGCACGACGAAAGCGUGGGGUAGCAAAGCAGG